rnacentral:lncRNA from 1 species
AUGUGUAUAUUCCAGACUAGGGGUUUGGGGGGAUCAUAUUUUGGGGAUCACCUUACAUUUAAUAUAUGCUCUCUGAUUAAAAUGUUCCAAAACACAAACCCUGACCCACUCAUAAAACUGUCUACUCUCUAUUUUCAAGAUAACUCCUUCUUUAAAAGGAAGAGAAUUUCUUUUCAUGUGGACUAUAAGAAAUACAACACUGAGAGUCAGAAAGCUUGGAUUCCAAAGAUGAUUGCAACGAGAUUGGAUCAUAUGAUUCUGAAAUCCUGUGAUCUUCUAAGAAAUAUGAUCAGUGAAUCCAGAUUUGAGAGAAUUGACCACAUGUGAGAGCAACUGCUUGGAUCAUGAUCUCAGCUCCCAGCUGACCAGCACUUCCUAUCACAUACCCUGCAUCUGGGCCUCCACAGAAAGCACUGGAAAUGCUAAGUGUUCAAAACUUGGACUAUAUGGGUCAACGCUUUGAAUUUUUAAGUUUCUAAAUUCAUAACUAGAACUUCCUAGAAGAAUUUUAUUCCAGGCAUUAGUACUAGGAAAAAUCAGUGUUCAUCCUUACUUGAAGGAGAAACGAUGUUACUCUUCACUGCUAGUGGGUUGGGAGCUCUAAUCCCAGUCAGUGUGCUGACUGACUAGGACCUCGUCAUGAGCUUCUGUGUGUGUCCUAACUUUACACUUGCAACUAUCUUGGUAGCCAGUUCUUA